UGUGCCUGAGACACACUGACAAACAAGGAUACAAACUGUCAUCUGUUGCAGAAACACUGGCAGACAACAAUUUUAGUUAACAAGUUGCGGUGGCUUCCAGCUCAGCACCACAUAGUUCUUGGUUGCCUCUGUUAUCUGCAGAUCAAGAGGUCUACCAGGAACAAUGCCCUCUGAUGGUCAGAACAUAAAGAAUUAGGUCCCUGAACACAUCAGCUGUGAAGUAGAAAUAUUCAUGUCACUGGGUGUCGUGGAUGUGAUGGUAUUCUGGAGAACAUUGUUUUUUUAAAUUUAUAUUCAUAGUUUUAUUAUUCUUUGAUAAAUUGCAUCUGUUAAUUCCAUAUUUAUAUAUUUUUACAUUUAUUUAUGUCCACUGUUUAUUUGUCUAUGUGUACCACCUAAUUACCAUAGCAAAUUCCUUGUACUUGUAAAAAAACUACAUGGCAAUAAACUCUUUCUGAUUCUGAUGAACCAUA